rnacentral:rRNA from 1 species
GACGAACGCUGGCGGCGUGCUUAACACAUGCAAGUCGAACGGAAAGGCCCUGCUUUUUUGGGGUGCUCGAGUGGCGAACGGGUGAGUAACACGUGAGUAACCUGCCCUUGACUUUGGUAUAACUUCAGGAAACUAGGGCUAAUACCGGAUAGGAGCUCCUGCUGCAUGGUGGGGGUUGGAAAGUUUCGGCGGUUGGGGAUGGACUCUCGGCUUAUCAGCUUGUUGGUGGGGUAGUGGCUUACCAAGGCUUUGACGGGUAGCCGGCCUGAGAGGGUGACCGGCCACAUUGGGACUGAGAUACGGCCCAGACUCCUACGGGAGGCAGCAGUGGGGAAUAUUGCACAAUGGGCGGAAGCCUGAUGCAGCAACGCCGCGUGCGGGAUGACGGCCUUCGGGUUGUAAACCGCUUUCGCCUGUGACGAAGCGUGAGUGACGGUAAUGGGUAAAGAAGCACCGGCUAACUACGUG